rnacentral:piRNA from 1 species
UAAUAAAAUAAGUUCUAGAUCAGG